UACGUAGGGGGGCAAGCGUUGUCCGGAUUUACUGGGCGUAAAGAGCGUGUAGGCGGCCAAGCAGGUCCGUUGUGAAAACUGGGAGGCUUAACCUCCAGACGUCGACGGAAACCGCGCGGCUAAGACCGGAAGAGGAGAGUGGAAUUCCUGGUGUAGCGGUGAAAUGCGCAGAUAUCAGGAAGAACACCAAUGGCGAAGGCAGCUCUCUGGGACGGUACUGACGCUGAGACGCGAAAGCGUGGGGAG
rnacentral:rRNA from 1 species